UGGGGAAUAUUGCACAAUGGGCGCAAGCCUGAUGCAGCCAUGCCGCGUGUAUGAAGAAGGCCUUCGGGUUGUAAAGUACUUUCAGCGGGGAGGAAGGGAGUAAAGUUAAUACCUUUGCUCAUUGACGUUACCCGCAGAAGAAGCACCGGCUAACUCCGUGCCAGCAGCCGCGGUAAUACGGAGGGUGCAAGCGUUAAUCGGAAUUACUGGGCGUAAAGCGCACGCAGGCGGUUUGUUAAGUCAGAUGUGAAAUCCCCGGGCUCAACCUGGGAACUGCAUCUGAUACUGGCAAGCUUGAGUCUCGUAGAGGGGGGUAGAAUUCCAGGUGUAGCGGUGAAAUGCGUAGAGAUCUGGAGGAAUACCGGUGGCGAAGGCGGCCCCCCUGGACGAAGACUGACGCUCAGGUGCGAAAGCGUGGGGCAGCAAAACAGGAUUAGAUACCCUGGUAGUCCA
rnacentral:rRNA from 1 species